rnacentral:lncRNA from 1 species
UAACCCACUGAGCCAUCCCCAUCUCUCACAAUGGCCUUCUUUGGUCACAGCCACACAUUAGUUUGGUCAGGCCUCCCAUUCCCACCACUCUCCUUUUCUCUGAAUAAACUGCAUAGGGUAAGGUGUUUCAGCGCCUAAGGACUAAGCUGCCAACGAGUAUCCGUACAGAAGGCCCACUGUGUUAUGUAUCAGGAUAGUAGAAACCACAGUAGGACUGACUUCCUGUCUGCUAUGCAGUCUUCCACGCCAGGUACUUUGGGUAGAAACCACAGCACGGGGUCACACAGGACUGCCUUAUCUUUCCCUCAAGCAGGCCUUACUUUUCAUACAUGGGACAUCUGUGGGGUUUAAUGUCUGUGAUGCCUGUCUUACGAUUUCAGGUUGAUAGAUCCUCAGACUCAAGUGUCACGGGCCUGUGUAAGUACCUGCUGCAUCUUUAUGUUUAGAGCUGUACCUCACUUCCCCUCUGCCCCGGAAGACCAACCUAUGCCCAGGACAAUCUGCCAAGCCCCAGGACCAUCCCACCCGCUAUGCACAUCUUCAACUUUGCUAUAGAAAACAAUGUUGGUUUUUAAAUUCGUUAUGUGAUGAUUCAUUCUGUCCCCUGUCCUGUCUUCCCUCUGCACUCUCCCCCCAAAAGUUUGAGCUCACCAGUGUCACACAGUUUGCUGCUCAUCAAGAAAACAAAAGGCUGGUUGGCUUCGUCAUCCGAGUGCCGGAGUCUACAGGAGAAGAGUCUCUGAGCACAUACAUUUUUGAAAGCAACUCAGAAGGCGAGAAGAUAUGUUAUGCUAUUAAUUUGGGGAAAGAAAUUAUUGAGGUUCAAAAGGAUCCAGAAGCACUGGCUCGAUUAAUGCUGUCUGUACCACUAACCAAUGACGGAAAAUAUGUACUGUUAAACGAUCAAGCAGAUGACACUGGCGGAAGUCCAAGUGACCACAGAGGCGCAGAGUCUGAAGCAUAACUCACUUGGGCAUCGGGGGUCAGAGCGCGUGGGAAGGAGAGCCACUCCUUAAGGGGUUUUCAACUUCUCUGACGUACAGGCACACUGACCUGAUUAGAACACCGACAAUCACGUGUGGAGUGUACCCUUGGAUGCCCUGGCACAGAGACUUGGGAGGGAGACAGUCAGAAAUGGGUGAGAGCGUGCCUACCCAUCUACAAAUGCUAUUUUAGGUGCUCUGUGGUAAGUCUUUGCUUCAGACUGUUGGGGGCCCAGAAUGAGAGCUAUAAAAAUGCAUUGUUCACUUUAUUUGGAUAGCAUCACUUCAGUUCCUAGGAUCCUUUUGUAAAUGGAAAAACCCUGGAUUUACAACUUGUUAAAUACUAAAUAGUUCCUAUUAAUAUGAUCUAUUUUUGUAUUUUACUUAGUUUUUAAGUGCCUGUCAUUCUGAAUAUUAUAUAUUUAUAACCCGCUGGUCUCAUGCCUAGACCUCAUGGCAUUGCUAUGCAAUUUGGUCUUAAACACUAGCAGAUAGCAAAUCUUCACAACAGAACCUUUCAAAACAAGCUUUCAUUCAAAAGCUUCAGGUCCUCUUAAAUGUGGCUGCUUUCUGGGGCUAUUCACUGUGAGCAAGGGACAGCUCUACUAGUUCCUGUUUCUUCUGAGCCAGACCUUCCUCAAAGGGACCAAUUAAUUUUAACACUCACUUGAAGCUCAGCGGGCUGUGGAACUAUGUUUGAAGUUCUGGUUUCUACCCUGAUGAUUCUGGUUCCUGGAGACCCAGACCAAUCUCCAACUCCUAGUUAUGAAGUAGAGAUAAAGAUCUUGAAAUCAUGCAGCAUAAAUUAAUUGUAAC